UUAAAAAAUAGUUUUCUUACAAUUGCAGAACAAAGGUUCUUGCUGUUAGUUCAAGUAGAAUGAAUGCUAAGUAAUUCACGAAUGGAAAAACCAGCUCAUGGUAAACUAUUUUCUGUGUUCUACCUAGAAAUGUUACUGUGAGUAGAAAAAAAAUUCUAAAUAAUAACUGGAGGUUAUUUGUCAUAAAUAAUUCCUCUUGAAUACAAAACUAAAAUCUGCAUUAAAAAUAAAAUAUUUUAUAUCUGUACACAGAAUAUUCAGAUGUCAAAAGGAGGCCAACUUCAUAAUAGGAAAACUUAAAUUACAAGUAAGUGUUAGGAAAAUUUUUCAUUGAGUACUUAUUGCUUUAUAUGUCAACAUAGACAUUUGACUAUUUUCCAGUUUUAUUGGGGUAUAACUGAAAAUAAAAUUGUAUAUAUUCAUUUUAUACAACACGAUUUGAUACAUGUAUACAUUCUGAAGUGAUUACCACAAUAAAAUUAACACGUUAUAUUACUACCCAGUUACCCUUGUGUGUGUAUAUGUGUGUGUCUGAGUGUGUAUAGCAAGAAACUUUCCUGAAAAUUUACUAUCUCAGAAAUUUCCAUUAAAGAAUACAUUAUUGGCCGGGUACGGUGGCUCAAGCCUGUAAUCCCAGCACUUUGGGAGGCCGAGGGGGGUGGAUCACGAGGUCAAGAGAUCGAGACCAUCCUGGUCGACGUGGUGAAACCCCGUCUCUACUAAAAAUACAAAAAAUUAGCCGGGCAUGGUGGCAUGUGCCUGUAGUCCCAGCUACUUAGGAGGCUGAGGCAGGAGAAUUGCCUGAACCCAGGAGGCGGAGGUUGUGGUGAGCCGAGAUCCCGCCGUUGCGCUACAGCCUGGGUAACAAGAGCGAAACUCCGUCUCAAAAAAAAAAAAAAGAAUACAUUAUUAUUAGCUAAAGUCACUAUACUAUACAUUAGAAUAUUAUAUUUUAUUCAUCUUAUAACUGAAUUUUUGUACCCCUUUGACCAAUAUUUUUUCAUUUUCCCUAACCCACAGCCUCUGACAGCCACCAUUCUAUUCGGUUUCUUUAUUCCGUGGAAGGAACGUGGAUGGUAUUUAGACUGAAGAACGAGAUUCCUCCUCUUUUUGACUAAAGACAAUUUAAGGCUCCAGUGUUUGUUGUUCCCCUCUAUGUGUACAUGUGUUUUCAUCAUUUAGCCUCCAAUGGUAAGUGAGAAAAUCCAGUAUUUGGUUUUCUGUCCCUGCAUUAGUUUGCUAAAACUAAUGGCCUUCAGCCCCAUCCAUGUUCCUGCAAAGGACAUUAUCUUGUUCUUUUUUAUGGCUGCAUAGUGCUCCAUGGUGUAUAUGUAGCACAUUUUCUUUAUCUGGUUUAUCAUUGAUGGGCAUUUGGGUUGAUUCUAUGUCUUUGCUAUUGUGAAUAGUGCUGCAAUGAACAUAUGCAUCCAUGUGUCUUUAUAAGAAACAACUUAUAUUCCUUUGGAUGUAUACCCAGUAAUGGGAUUGCUGGGUCAAAUGGUAUGUCUGUCUUUAGGUCUUUGAAGAAUCACAACACUGUCUUUCACAAUAGUUGAAUACCCACCAACAGUGUAUAAGCAUUCCUUUUUCUCCACAACCUCACCAGCAUCUGUUAUUUUUAGAAUUUUUAAUACUAGCCAUUCCGACUGGUAUAAGAUGAUAUCUCAUUGUGGUUUUGAUUUGCAUUUCUCCAACAACCAGUAAUGUUGAGCAUUUUUUUAUAUGAUUGUUGGCCACAUGUAUGUCUUCUUUAGAAAAGCCUUGUCCAUGUUCUUUGCCCAGUUUUAGUGAAAAAUUCUAAUGCAAAUUUGUUUAAGUUCUUUAUAGAUGCUGGGUGUUAGACCUUUGUCAGAUGUAUAAUUUGCAAAUAUUUUCUCCCAUUCUGUAGGUCGUCAACUUGUUGAUAGUUUCUUUUCUGUGCAGAAACUCUUUACUUUAAUUAAAUCAUAUUUGUCCAUUUUUGCUUUGGUUGUGAUUGCCUCUGGUGUCCUUUUCAUGAAAUAUUUGCCAUAACUAUGUCCUGAAUGUCAUUUCCCAGGUUGAGUUCCAGGGUUUUAUAGUUUUGGGUCUCAUAUUUAAGCACUUCAUCUGCCUUGAGUUAAUUUUCGUACAUUAUGUAAGAAAGGGGUU
rnacentral:lncRNA from 13 species